rnacentral:rRNA from 1 species
CCUACGGGAGGCUGCAGUGGGGAAUAUUGGACAAUGGGCGAAAGCCUGAUCCAGCCAUGCCGCGUGUGUGAAGAAGGCCUUCGGGUUGUAAAGCACUUUUAGUGGGGAAGAAAGCCUUGGGGCUAAUACCCUCGAGGAAGGACAUCACCCACAGAAGAAGCACCGGCUAACUCCGUGCCAGCAGCCGCGGUAAUACGGAGGGUGCGAGCGUUAAUCGGAAUUACUGGGCGUAAAGCGCGCGUAGGCGGUCUGAUAAGCCGGUUGUGAAAGCCCCGGGCUCAACCUGGGAACGGCAUCCGGAACUGUCAGGCUAGAGUGCAGGAGAGGAAGGUAGAAUUCCCGGUGUAGCGGUGAAAUGCGUAGAGAUCGGGAGGAAUACCAGUGGCGAAGGCGGCCUUCUGGACUGACACUGACGCUGAGGUGCGAAAGCGUGGGUAGCAAACAGGAUUAGAUACCCCUGUAGUC